CUUACCUGAGCGCUGCAGCGUCUCCCUCCCGUUUUCCAGGAAUCUGAGAAGCGACUCCAGGCACGUGCCCUGCAAGUAGUUUCUGCAGAACCCUCUGUCUCCCGCCUCCCACUUGCUGCGGGUGAUCUGAGCCACCUCAUCAGCUUCAUCCGCCACGGUCCAGGAGCGCAGGUCCUUGCUCAGGGUCAGGUAAUCUGCGCCAUCGUAGGCGUGCCGGCUGUACCCGCGGAGGAGGUGCCCAUCGGGCCCCACGUCGCAGCCGUACAAGUUCUGGAAGGAUGCGGGGAUUUUUCACACCUGGGGCAGGGUCCACCCUGAUUGGAUAGCUCUCAUGGUGCCAGGGUCACCUGAGGCUUAUCCAUAUAAACAGUAAACAGGGGAGCCUGUCUCACCUUUGGGCUUCUUCAGAGAAGGUCUUUUCCUGCACCGGGUUCUUCAUCAGAGGCAGCUGACCGUCAAGCCUGUCCUCCCAUCCUGGCCCAUGGUUUGGGCUGGCCCCCUCCCUCUCUGGAGAGUGGGACAGUCCCUCUUUUCAGUGCCCUGUACGAUGGCACUGAAAGCAUGGCCCUGGGGACAGCUUCUUGCAGCUGAGGUGUCCUGGUUGCUGGCAGUGGAAGCAAGCUGGCAGCCCAUAGAGAGGUUGAGGUCCCGAAUGCCCUAGGGCGCGUGGGGCCUUGGGAUGCGGGACUUUUCACACCUGGGGCGGGGUCCACCCUGAUUGGAUAGCUCUCAUGGUGCCAGGGCUUGAGGAGAUGCUUCCCUGCUUUCCUGAGCCUCCCUGUCCAGGACUGCACAGCUCUUCAUACUGGACAGGGUGUCUCUGUCCACAUCCUUGACCCCUCCCCUUCUGCUCCCUCCUGUGCAGCCUGUAAGGCAAGUGAUUGUCAGGCUUUUCUGCCCUUCCGCCAUUAGGAUUAAUGAUGGUGGACACCAGGGGUGGGGUGUGGGCAUGCAUAGGUAGGUAUCCCUGGGCUGAGACUUGCUUACAAGGGCGGUGUCACGGAGACGCCAGCAGAAGAGCAGCAAGAGGAGAAGAGGGCAGAAACAGCAGAGCAGCAAAGGAGAAGCAGGACCACGAGAGAAUGCCAGAGAGCCCAGAAAGAGUGAGGACUCACCAGGGGCUGGGAGGCCUGCCACCUCCCAACCUCUGGCACCCCUCCCUGCCGGUGUACCUGAUAAAAAGCCCAUUAAAAUCCUGAAAAGCCACCGCAGCUCCAGGACUCUCCUCCUUUACCCAUCUGCAUAGGUUCAUGGAGAUCCUGCACUGGCACUACAUUGGCAUAGUUGGCAGAUGUUAUGGAGCCCUCCAAAGGCCUCAGGAGGGCCUGAGGAGAAGCUGGCCAUGAGCCUGCGACAACACGGGAGGCGCCAUGGCGGCACAGGUGGUGACCAAAGAGCAGGAGCUACGGGAAGAGUUAAAGAUGCUGCAGGAGCAAAGGAGGAGAGGGGCCCUAAGAGGACCAGACCAUGACCCCUGAGGCAGCAGAAUCUUGGUGAAAGAAAGGCGCAUGAUUUGGAGGUGGCCAGUGCUGGUGCAAGGAAAAGACUGAUGGACUGACAAUUCCACCAGAAGGCCGAAGAACCUUGAAAUGUUGCCACUGUAAUCUCCCCAGAGAUCUCUCACCCACAUCUGUUCCCAGCGUCUCUCUCCAUGUCCCCCAAGUCGCUGGCACAAGUCCAAGGCUGAGAAGUAAUCACAGUUUCUUCACCUGUUCCCAGCUUUGCUGCCAUUAGAGCCUGGAAGGGAAGGUGAAGACCUGAAACUGGGCACCUCCCUGAGCUGUGUAAGAUGUGGGCAGUUUGUCAGGCCAUUUGGCUACUGCAGCUGCUUUUUCAAUGCUGAUUGUCUGGUUCUGUGCUGACCCCUCUCAGCAGCUCCAUGGAGCGUCUCAUGUUGUGUCUUCUGCUGGCUUAGUGAGCUGGAUACUGGCCUGUUGUCUGGCUGCCAUAGGCUCCAGGCCGUCAGUGGCAGGAAGAUAUCCUUUUGGGAGCCAUGUCUUUUUUCAGGAUAGGUUUGAACAUCUUCAGUGGCAGGUGGGUGCCAUCUUAGAUGCCUUUUGUUCAGGACUUCAAAACACUGGACACUACUUGGGGUGAGAUAAGCAGCCCUGCCGGGGACCAGCCUCCGGCAAAACGUCGUGUCAGGGUUCCUGAAAGGAUGAGACGGCGUCGGCGAAAACGAAAGAUCUGAAACUUAAGGGCUGAGGGGGAGGGAAAUGAGGUAGAAUGAGGAGACACUGACACUUGGUGAGGUGCUAGUAUCUUCUGCCGAGAGACUCAGCAGGUCUUUUUUUUUAUUCAUUAUUAGUAAUAAUAAUAAGCAAAUACAUUAUCAUGUGUAAAGCAAAAACAAUUAGUAUAUUAUGUUUCCCAUAGACUACUGGCCCCUACAGGUCUCAGCUAGACGGCAGCUUUCAAGGUUAAUAGAUAAUAAACCAGACCUAACAUUAAAGCUACUUAUUUUUUCAUUUAGACAAUUAUUUAAAACAGCGAAUAACCGCCAGUGCAUCCCUAUCAGCUAAAGCCUAAGCAUCAAAGGACUCUUCUAUUCACAUGACCUUCAGCCGGAGACCAGCUGCUGCUUAUUUAUCAGAACUUUUUCUACCUACAAACUUCUUAACACAGUUAACUUCAUUUAAAAACUUUCCUAAGAAACUUCUAAAUAAAAAGGAAACUUCUAAAAAUCAAAACAAGGAUAUACUAUAAUUGUUAUGCUGGAUUGCUUGUCAGAUAUAUACAAUAAAUUGUCUCCCAUUGUUAAUUGGGCCGAAUUGUGUAGUAACUAAUUUCUAAACAGGUAAUUUUCUGUGCCAAUUGCUUGCAGUCCACUGAUACAUAUAAUUUAUAGCCCAAUGUACCUUUCUGAUAAAUUUUUCUCUCUCUAUGACCAAGAAUAAAAAGCAAAGGGAUGCCAGAUCUUCAGCCCCACGGUGUGAGGCCUUUUCUCUUAGCUGCUUGUCAGUAUCCUAUCUGGCUGGAGCAACAAGGCCUCCUGCAGCACAGCCCUUGUGGCCUUAGUGAUUCUUUGUCUUUCCUGUUUGUUAAAUAAAUCCCUUAUUGUUGUUCUAUGAAUGUGAGUGGUCUUGCAAUUGUGCACGCGGGUUAAGAACUCAGACAGUGACCUAUAAACUGUUUGGGCACUGUCCUUGGCCAGUUUUAGUGCCUCUUUUGCCCUGUAUCAUCUUUAUUUUGUGCUUUUCCUUUUAGACUUGCCUGGCUGCUUCUACCACUUUCCUAUGAGUCUCCUCCAGAAGGUGCCUUAGUCUUGUUGUAAGCUUUCAGACCUCAGCAGUCCUGCUCUGGGUCAACCCUGUUUGACUGGACAUUUACACCCAAUGGGAUGGUAACUUUGGGUGUUUCAUUUAGUAACUACUUUAACUAUGGUCUUUCUGCACUGUGUGCUUAUUGCACUAAGUGUGCAAUAAAGGAUCUAUUGAGAUCUAUUGAGGAUCUUAUGCAUUAGAGUAUGUCUUUAUGCAAUUGGUGGCAGAACCCAUUUAAAUGUGCAGGUUUGAAGGUCUGGGGUGCUUCUCAUGCAGUCCAUUAUCAUGUCUGAUACAGGGCAGCAAGGGGCACUAAAGCUGGCCAAGGACACUGCCAGAAUAGUUUACCAGUCUGAGUUCUUCCCCCGUGCAUACAAUUACAAGACCACUCAGGCUCAGAGGACAAAAAUAAUGGGGUUUAUUCAAAAAAACAGGGAAAAACAAAGAGUUACUGAGACCACAAAUGGCUGUUUACCUCACCUGAAGCAGGGUCCAGUUUUUUAAAGUCCUAAACACAAAUGUUCCCAAGGAGCGUCUUCCUGCCACUGAGGGCCUGGAGCACGUGGCAGCCAGACUAUAGGCCAGGAUCCAACUCACGAAGACAGCAGAAGACACAGCAGGAGAUGCUCAAUGGAAAUGCUCAGAUGCCCCAGCACAGCACCAGACAAGCAACUCUCAAAACAGCUGCUGCAGCAGCUGAAAGACCUGACAAAUGGCCACACACAAAGCUUAGAGAGAUGCGGGGCUCCAGGUCUCACCUUCCCUGCCAGGCUGUCACAGCAGCAAAACCAGGAACAGUUUCAGUCACUCAGCUACUUGCAAAGCCUCCGAACAUUUCCUCUCUGAGUUUGGCUGCAGAAAGCACAAAUAAAUGGACAAAUAUUCCUUUUCCUUUUGAAAAAGAACAAAUUGCAAAGUUUACAGUACCUGAAUUCAAAAUUUACUAAAGCUGCAUUAAUCAAGACAGUGUGAUACUGGCCUAAGUCCUGACAGUUAUCAAAAGAACAGAGUGUAUGGAACUAGAUACACUUGGGCAAUCACUUAAUUUUUAACAAACACAGCAAAGUAAUGCAAUGGGGUCAAGGAAAACCUUUUCAAUGAAAGGUACGGUAACAAUUGGAUAUUCAACUGGAAAGUUUAUUUAAAAGGAACCUGAAUAUUCUUCAGCAUUGCUCUUAUCCAAUGCUGAAGUGACACAUUAGUAAUGUAUCACUGCUGAUUAGUGUCAGCAAUCAAAACAGUGUUUCCACUAUUCUAGUGCUAUUCCUACUACAGGGAUAGCGCCUUAUCUUCAUUAAAAAAAGCUUUUUAAAUUAUUAAAAUAGCAAUAGUCAUUAAUAACAGUUCCAGUAUUAAAGAAAAAGUACACAAUAACUGUCCAUUAUCAUACAACCCAGGAAUCACUGAAAUUGAGAUGAUGUUUUUAAGCUUCUACAAAUGAUAUCAUAAAAUUUGUAUAAUGCCUUUUUUACCUAAUACUAUUUUGCAUGUGCUUCUUUUUUUAUGAUUUCUUGCAAUUUUAUUAUUUUGUUUGAAUGUAAUGUGACCAUAUUAGCUUUAAUUUCAACUUAUGACAUUUGUAUGUCAUUUUCAUGACAUUUCAUUUCCCAAAGAAAUAAAUUUUAACUGCAAGCUAUAUCUAAAUUGCACAUCUAAUAAACAUCUAUUUCCAGAGUA